rnacentral:lncRNA from 1 species
GGGCUGUCCUCCUGGCCUGCAGGAGCUGGCUGUGUGUCCUUCCGCAUGGUACCUCCCUUCCAUGGGCCUCUGCUUGCCUGGGGGACAUAUCAGAGACUGGAGUCUAACAGGCACUGGUUACACAAAACAUCACGUAUUUUCAACAAGAUGACUGGCUUAAAUUGAGGGUUCCCAAAUGGUUUUCUGUGAACAGAGGUUUCCACUGCUGGGCCAUCCCCCAGAGGAGCCCGUUCUGAGGAGGAGUCCUGGCCACACUUACUCGCUGUCUCACUUCCAGGCAUUCCUGGGGUCCUCAGGGGAAUUUCCAGGGUGUCUUCUGAGCUGACCUGGUCCAGUGGUUUUCGGUCCUGAUGGCUUCCCGUCUUUGAGUCCUCAGAGAAAAAACUUGCGCAGGCAGCCCACCUCCAGUGACUGGGCAAGAUGGAGUACACAGGCCUGGCCAUUUCUGCUUGACCCAGGAUGGGAUGACCAGCAAUAUUCACUUCAGAGCUUCCCACCAGCUUGGCCAAGACCUUGUCAGGCUGCAUCGCAUUUAAUCUCUCCCUCCCUGAAUCCUCAUUCUAUCCCCUCCCACAAGUAGUGAUCCCUAAUAAACAUCAUGCAUUCAAAG